GCACGAACACACGGGAGCCCGGAUCGGCCGGGCUGAGAGUGCGGACCCAUCCGCUGACCGUCGAACCUGAUCCGGGUCAUUCCGGCGAAGGAAGGUGAUUCCAGCGUGAAU
rnacentral:ncRNA from 2 species